UCUGGUUGAUCCUGCCAGAGGUUACUGCUAUCGAGGUUCGACUAAGCCAUGCGAGUCGAAUGUAGCAAUACAUGGCGUACUGCUCAGUAACACGUGGACAACCUGCCCUUGAGACGGGGAUAAACCCGGGAAACUGGGUAUAAUACCCGAUAGAUCUCGAUUGCUGGAAUGCAUCGAGCUUGAAAGCUCCGGCGCUCAAGGAUGGGUCUGCGGCCUAUCAGGUAGUAGUGGGUGUAGCGUACCUACUAGCCUACGACGGGUACGGGUUGUGAGAGCAAGAGCCCGGAGAUGGAUUCUGAGACACGAAUCCAGGCCCUACGGGGUGCAGCAGGCGCGAAAACUUUACAAUGCUGGAAACAGCGAUAAGGGGACCUCGAGUGCCAGGUUACAAAUCUGGCUGUCGUGAUGCCUAAAAAGCAUUGCAUAGCAAGGGCCGGGCAAGACCGGUGCCAGCCGCCGCGGUAACACCGGCGGCUCGAGUGGUAACCGUUAUUAUUGGGUCUAAAGGGUCUGUAGCCGGCCGGAUAAGUCUCUUGGGAAAUCUGGCAGCUUAACUGUCAGGCUUUCAGGAGAUACUGUCUGGCUCGAGGCCGGGAGAGGUGAGAGGUACUUCAGGGGUAGGGGUGAAAUCUUGUAAUCCUUGAAGGACCACCAGUGGCGAAGGCGUCUCACCAGAACGGACCUGACGGCAAGGGACGAAAGCUAGGGGCACGAACCGGAUUAGAUACCCGGGUAGUCCUAGCCGUAAACGAUACUCGCUAGGUGUCGGCAACGGUGCGACCGUUGUCGGUGCCGUAGGGAAGCCGUGAAGCGAGCCACCUGGGAAGUACGGCCGCAAGGCUGAAACUUAAAGGAAUUGGCGGGGGAGCACCACAACGGGUGGAGCUUGCGGUUUAAUUGGAUUCAACGCCGGG
rnacentral:rRNA from 1 species